GCGCCCGUAGCUCAGCUGGAUAGAGCAUCGGACUUCUAAUCCGAGGGUCACAGGUUCGAAUCCUGUCGGGCGUGCCG
rnacentral:tRNA from 1 species